UAAAUACGACACCGGUCACCUUCGUCACACCCAGAACUAGACGAGUCAGUGCCAAGCUCAGGAAUUACCAUGAAUCUCUCUAUCGUUUUUUCGCUGCUCGUCUCCUCUGCAUUUGCAGCUCCCUACUCAUAUCAUACGGCACCU